rnacentral:rRNA from 1 species
GAGAGUUUGAUCCUGGCUCAGGAUGAACGCUGGCGGCGUGCCUAAUACAUGCAAGUCGAGCGAACGGACGAGAAGCUUGCUUCUCUGAUGUUAGCGGCGGACGGGUGAGUAACACGUGGAUAACCUACCUAUAAGACUGGGAUAACUUCGGGAAACCGGAGCUAAUACCGGAUAAUAUUUUGAACCGCAUGGUUCAAAAGUGAAAGACGGUCUUGCUGUCACUUAUAGAUGGAUCCGCGCUGCAUUAGCUAGUUGGUAAGGUAACGGCUUACCAAGGCAACGAUGCAUAGCCGACCUGAGAGGGUGAUCGGCCACACUGGAACUGAGACACGGUCCAGACUCCUACGGGAGGCAGCAGUAGGGAAUCUUCCGCAAUGGGCGAAAGCCUGACGGAGCAACGCCGCGUGAGUGAUGAAGGUCUUCGGAUCGUAAACUCUGUUA